UCCGCAGGGCCUGUCCACCUCUGUGGGCUGCCGCUGGGACCGAAUGUCUCCGCCAGCUGCCGCCGGGCCUAAAUGUUCCUGUUGGCCACUGCCGCCGGCCCGUCUACCUCCGCGGGCCGCUGCCACAGGCCUGUGUCUGCUUGUCUCCACCAUCUUGAAUCUCCUCACGAGAAACAAAUUAAGUGGAAAAAGGUCAAUAUCAGCAUCUUGUCUAAUGGAAUGGAAGCCCCGCCCCCAGCAUGGAAGAAGAAGAUGGAUUUGCUGAUAGCCAGUCAAAAAUACCUGGAACUGUACAAGGAGACCUUUAAGUCAGGAUAAAGCCAUAAACAGGCAAGGGAUGAUUAGAUACCCAUUGACGGGUCUGAUUUCACUUGUUUCAAACACAGCUGCAUUCUGUGGAACCCAGGGUAGAGCUUCAACCUACACAUCGGAAUGGAAAUGGCUCUAGAAACCUUAUCAUGCAUGUUAUAAAUCAGUGACUGGAAUAAGAGAAAUUGAAUUCCCAAAGAAGUGACACAUUUUAAUUUUUAAAGUGAUGUCUACAAUCAGACAACGAGGAGUCCUGGUCCCAGUACAGAGGACAGCAUGAAGUAUUCUGAAGUCAGCGGUUCUGAAGAAGCCUUGCUGUUAUGAAGGGGAGAUUUCAUCCUGUCAGCGGUAGCAGAACAAAGUGAUAGAUACUGAAAAGAAACCACAGAUAGCAAAGAUUUCCUGGAGAGAACUGCUGUGGGAAUUCGUUUUAGUCUUCUGUUCCUUGAUACAAUUCUUUCCCCUGGGUAAACAGAUUUGCAUAGUUGUAUUUACCAAAGAAACCCAACCCUUUACAGUCUAGAAAUUGCCAUCCCUACCCAGGAGAGCCAUAGCUCUGCUUCUGUCAAUUCGACCUUACUAAAAUGUCUCAGUUUAGAGGCACCUGACUCUAAAGGCUAAUUUUAACUGG